AAAUUGAAGAGUUUGAUCAUGGCUCAGAUUGAACGCUGGCGGCAGGCCUAACACAUGCAAGUCGAACGGUAACAGGAAGCAGCUUGCUGCUUUGCUGACGAGUGGCGGACGGGUGAGUAAUGUCUGGGGAACUGCCUGAUGGAGGGGGAUAACUACUGGAAACGGUGGCUAAUACCGCAUAACGUCGCAAGACCAAAGAGGGGGACCUUCGGGCCUCUUGCCAUCAGAUGUGCCCAGAUGGGAUUAGCUUGUUGGUGAGGUAA
rnacentral:rRNA from 1 species